GAACAAAGAGUUUUCAAGGAUUUUCUUGCUAAUAUGUGUCCAAGGGUAGCGGCGCAUUUGGAAGCAGUGUUACCUGGAUCGCGGGUCAUUGCGGAACGGGUACGCGGUACGCCAAUCUCUAUAGAACGCGAAGUCUAGGAACGGACGAAGUCUAGAAACAAGCGCACCAGAGCUGAUGCAGAAGAUGGGACCGCUGAGUAAAUAUGGGAUCGCUGGAGUCACCGAUCUGGUUCGUGAUCAUACUGCGUUUCGGGUCGUGCGACCGGGUUCGCGGGUCGCCGGCAAACUGAGCGAUCCCGGCAUCUCUGUUUGGAAGCACUGGAGUUUGAUGUAUCCCUUGUUGCCAUAGAGUGGUUUCUUUGCCUCUUUUCUAAGAGCUUGCCUUCAGAGAUGAAGGAACAGGAGUUGCUUCUAACCUAUCAUGUUGGCGAUGUUAUUAAUAUUCUGCAGAAAACCACUCAUCAUCUAUUUGAUCCUGAUGAGCUAUUGACGUUCCAACUUCAAUGGGGACACAAGAGGCAUCCAGAAUUAGAGAAAUUUAUCAUGAAGAUCCAAAGUGAAGCUGGUCUCUUAAGAAACAAGAUGUAUUUCAAGUGGAAUGUGCUGUGAAU
rnacentral:lncRNA from 1 species